rnacentral:rRNA from 1 species
GAUGAACGCUGGCGGCGUGCUUAACACAUGCAAGUCGAACGAUGAAGCCCAGCUUGCUGGGUGGAUUCGUGGCGAACGGGUGAGUAACACGUGAGUAACCUGCCCUUGACUCUGGGAUAAGCCUGGGAAACUGGGUCUAAUACUGGAUAUGACUUCUCAUCGCAUGGUGGGGGGUGGAAAGAUUUAUUGGUCUUGGAUGGACUCGCGGCCUAUCAGCUUGUUGGUGAGGUAAUGGCUCACCAAGGCGACGACGGGUAGCCGGCCUGAGAGGGUGACCGGCCACACUGGGACUGAGACACGGCCCAGACUCCUACGGGAGGCAGCAGUGGGGAAUAUUGCACAAUGGGCGCAAGCCUGAUGCAGCGACGCCGCGUGAGGGAUGACGGCCUUCGGGUUGUAAACCUCUUUCAGUAGGGAAGAAGCGAGAGUGACGGUACCUGCAGAAGAAGCGCCGGCUAACUACGUG